rnacentral:tRNA from 1 species
GCCCCUGUAGUUUAACGGAUAAAACAACUCCCUUCUAAGGAGUGGCUCUAGGUUCGAUUCCUGGCAGGGGCA